GACGAACGCUAGCGGCGUGCUUAACACAUGCAAGUCGAACGGAAAGGCCUCUUUCGGGGGGUACUCGAGUGGCGAACGGGUGAGUAACACGUGAGUAACCUGCCCUUGACUUUGGGAUAACUUCAGGAAACUGGGGCUAAUACCGGAUAGGAGCUCCUGCUGCAUGGUGGGGGUUGGAAAGUUUCGGCGGUUGGGGAUGGACUCGCGGCUUAUCAGCUUGUUGGUGGGGUAGUGGCUUACCAAGGCUUUGACGGGUAGCCGGCCUGAGAGGGUGACCGGCCACAUUGGGACUGAGAUACGGCCCAGACUCCUACGGGAGGCAGCAGUGGGGAAUAUUGCACAAUGGGUGGAAGCCUGAUGCAGCAACGCCGUGUGCGGGAGGACGGCCUUCGGGUUGUAAACCGCUUUCGCUCAUGACGAAGCUUUGUGUGACGGUAGUGGGUAAAGAAGCACCGGCUAACUACGUG
rnacentral:rRNA from 1 species